UGAGGAAUAUUGGACAAUGGGUGAGAGCCUGAUCCAGCCAUCCCGCGUGAAGGAUGACGGUCCUAUGGAUUGUAAACUUCUUUUGUACAGGGAUAAACCUACUCUCGUGAGGGUAGCUGAAGGUACUGUACGAAUAAGCACCGGCUAACUCCGUGCCAGCAGCCGCGGUAAUACGGAGGGUGCAAGCGUUAUCCGGAUUUAUUGGGUUUAAAGGGUCCGUAGGCGGACUUGUAAGUCAGUGGUGAAAUCUCAUAGCUUAACUAUGAAACUGCCAUUGAUACUGCCGGUCUUGAGUAAAUUUGAAGUGGCUGGAAUAAGUAGUGUAGCGGUGAAAUGCAUAGAUAUUACUUAGAACACCAAUUGCGAAGGCAGGUCACUAAGAUUUAACUGACGCUGAUGGACGAAAGCGUGGGGAGCGAACA
rnacentral:rRNA from 1 species